rnacentral:lncRNA from 1 species
UUAAGGUUAAAACUGAAACCUUUCUUUUAAUGAAAUAAAUGUGUAUACAUUCAUACUGCACACUAUACAUUUACUUUAAGACAUUUUUGAAAGAAAAUAAUAAAAUCAAUACAAAUAAUGUGAGUAUUCAGUAACAAAAUAUUCAGGUUUCCCUGGAAUCACAUUGAAUUGAUUGGUUUGGGUCAAUGAAAAUACUGGCUCAUGGUAUACACAGCUUGUUCUCCUCCCAUGAUUAUUGUCGGUAUGCAGGAGGCAAAGGAGGAUCAGAGAAGAAGAUUACAAGGUUUUUCUGAAUUAUUCCAACUGGCUUCUGAAGCUCCUUCACCUUUUGAAGUUGUUUGUAACAACAACAUGCUUCCUGGCUCUGGCGAGGCCAGCUUGUUCCUGCUUGCUCCUAGUAGCAGAGGUGUGAGUCGCUGAGAGCUAUGACCCCCAGUCUCUCCCAGACAUUUGCAGAGGAUCCAUGCACACUGGAGCCAGAGGAGAGGGAAGAAUGCAGAGCCCCUCCUACCUUAAAGACUCACAUGGAACUUGCCUGAGCAAAAAAAUAAAACUAAAAAUCAACAUAAUCUGGUUUACCUCUUAGAUUCAUUUCUAACAGUUUCUUUGUUUGAAGAGUAGGUAAGAACUCUUGUGCAUAUCUCGUAUGUUCCAGAAAUAUAUUUGCCUUUUUCCAUUAGUAAAUUUCUGUAUCAAUGGAUAGAGGACAUACCUCAGGCAUUUGGGAUUUUGUCAUCACACCAACUUUUCUGAAGUUGGGUUUAAGGGUCACCUACUCUGAGGGAGCAGAAUGUGCUGGGGGAGGGGAUUAUCUGAUGCUUGUCAUAGACAGUGGCCACUGAGGCAGCUUCACUCUCAGGACGGUAGCCUGGGAGCUGUAGACCUGGACUCUCUGCAUCGAUUCUAUGUGAAUAAUAAACACAGCUAAACUUUGCUUAAAUGAGAUGGGAGCUGGAAGGUGAUUAAACGGUCAGAAAGAAAAAAAAAAUGUUACAGAAUUUUUUUCAUAUAUUGCAAGCUAUUUAUACUAAUAAUUUCUUUCCCACUCUCCUGCCUCUCACUCAUCACCCAUAACUGAAUCUGCAGCUUCUCUGCUCCCUCAAAGCAUAAUAUUGUGCAGUCCCCAGAUGGUGUUUGGGGUGCUUCUGAGCCUGCUGGAACUUACUAAGGCGCACCUGGAAGAAGCAGCACGUUAUACACUGGCAAGUCUGACAGUAGACUGAUUUAUGAGGCUGCUACUUUUUUGCUGAAUUUAUUUUCAAAUAGGGCCUGUUAUUUUAGCAUGGGCCCUUCAAUCAUGGAUAUGCAAAGUCUACACAAAGACUCCCUAAAGUGCUCAGGGCUGUAUGCAGGAAGUAUUCUGGCACAGCAGUGUACGGUGAUGUGUGUCUGCCAAAAAGGUUUGACUUCAGAGACGACUACUUUAGACAACAUGUUGACUUGUGCGUAGGACAGAGAACAACAGAUUUAUUUGGAUUAUUUUGAUCAGAAGAACAGAGAUGAUAAAGAAAACAUGCAACCUGAGUUUUAACCUUUUCAAAAAGCUUAUCUUUCUAUAUAUAGUUAGAAUUAUGGCCAGAUUGAUAAAUUUCUGUCCAGAAAAUCCUUUCCAUCCCAAAUCAGUCUUUUUGAUUUUCCAAAUUCUUAUACAGCAAAGUUAAACUUUUCCCUAUUUUCUAUUUUUUAUUACAUUAAAG